UACAGAGGUCCCGAGCGUUGUUCGGAUUCACUGGGCGUAAAGGGUGCGUAGGUGGUGAGGAAAGUCGGAUGUGAAAUCUCCGGGCUUAACCCGGAAACUGCAUUGGAAACUGCCUUGCUAGAGGUUUUGAGGGGGGACUGGAAUUCUCGGUGUAGCAGUGAAAUGCGUAGAUAUCGAGAGGAACACCAGUGGCGAAGGCGAGUCCCUGGAAAACACCUGACACUGAGGCACGAAAGCUAGGGGAGCAAACAGG
rnacentral:rRNA from 1 species